UUUGUUUUUUGUGUUGAUCGUUUUAUGUUUUUAUUCUUGUGGCUCAUCCAUCUUGCCCGGAACUCGCAAUGGAUGUAAAGUUCAAACUGGAACCAAUGAAACCAGAUACUGUUGCAGUGGUUAUUUUGAAAAGAAUAGAUCAUGUCAUGAGUGUGUUGGGUCCCAUGGAUUUAACUGUACCAGCCCCUGUCCUCCAUCUUGGUAUGGAGCCCUUUGUAGGUUCCGGUGUUCGUGUCCAGACGACGAGUGUGACCGAGUUAAUGGUUGUAACAAAGGCCCAGGUUACUUCAUUUGUUGUUACUUUUGAAAUUAGGUGUGUUUUAUAUAUGUCAGUGCAUUGAAUCAAAAUGCAUUUUUUAUUCUUACCUCUUUCCAGAAAAAUCGAAUGUUCAGUCUCCGCCAGUUGACUCCAAAACAAAUCCAAAAGCAUAUGCGUUAAAAGCGGUUGAUACCUAUUCUCCACCGGAUACAACGCCUGUGGUUACAAAAUACGUAAAUACAAGUUUUCUGCAUGGCACGAAAUACGUCAAUACAACUUUUCAGCAUGGCACGAAAUACGUCACUACACGUUUUCGACACAGAAUUCCACAAAAGUUGUCAUUGCAAGAUAACAGUACCGAGGCAAGUUUAAGAAGUAACAUCCAAGAAGUGAUUUGGAAAUUACAAAUCAGAGACUGUGUUGUCAUAUUCCUUAUUGUAUUGUUCGCAUUAUCAGCCACUGUCAUUGGAGUGAAGAUGUGCCAGAGAACGAGGGAAAGAAACAGUCAGUUCAAUUACAAGAGACUUGCGGCAGAAAAACAACUGAACAGCGAGGACUUUUUCUUUGAGAAUGACUACUCGGACGUUUCAAUGAAAACCCCUGUGUUGACCGACUGUAAAGUUUGACUCUUCUGACAAAGAAUAAAUUGUUGAAAGU
rnacentral:misc_RNA from 1 species